GGGCCGGUAGCGUAAUGGUAGCGCACUUCCAUGGCAUGGAAGGGGUUGAGAGUUCGAAUCUCUUCCGGUCCACAA
rnacentral:tRNA from 2 species